GACGAACCGUGCGAACGUUGUUCGGAUUCACUGGGCUUAAAGGGCGCGUAGGCGGCCGCCCGAGUCGGGGGUGAAAUCGUCCGGCCCAACCGGACAAGCGCCUCCGAUACUGGGCGGCUCGAGGGGGGUAGGGGCAUGCGGAACUUCCGGUGGAGCGGUGAAAUGCGUAGAUAUCGGAAGGAACGCCGGUGGCGAAAGCGGCGUGCUGGACCCCUCCUGACGCUGAGGCGCGAAAGCCAGGGGAG
rnacentral:rRNA from 1 species